rnacentral:rRNA from 1 species
GGGAGGAUUAAAAUAAUCUUAUUAGAGUAAGUAGUCCCGAAAGAAAAAGAGCUAACAUAAAUAAAUAGUUUUCGUAUUAAUGAAAUUAUUAAAUUUAUGUUAGUAGUGAAAUGCUAGACGAUUUUUCAUAUCUGGUUGAAGGAGAAUUAAAUUAAAUUUAGUUAUUUUGAGGUUAAAAAAGCUUUAAAAUAAUAAAGAGUAGGAGGGAAGAGCUUCUUAUUCUAAUAAUAAGUAAACUAUAAUAAAAGUAAUUUAAGUAUUACUGAAUUAGGCUU